GACGAGCGCUGGCGGCGUGCUUAACACAUGCAAGUCGAACGGAAAGGCCCUGCUUUUGUGGGGUGCUCGAGUGGCGAACGGGUGAGUAACACGUGAGUAACCUGCCCUUGACUUUGGGAUAACUUCAGGAAACUGGGGCUAAUACCGGAUAGGAGCUCCUGCUGCAUGGUGGGGGUUGGAAAGUUUCGGCGGUUGGGGAUGGACUCGCGGCUUAUCAGCUUGUUGGUGGGGUAGUGGCUUACCAAGGCUUUGACGGUUAGCCGGCCUGAGAGGGUGACCGGCCACAUUGGGACUGAGAUACGGCCCAGACUCCUACGGGAGGCAGCAGUGGGGAAUAUUGCACAAUGGGCGGAAGCCUGAUGCAGCAACGCCGCGUGCGGGAUGACGGCCUUCGGGUUGUAAACCGCUUUCGCCUGUGACGAAGCGUGAGUGACGGUAAUGGGUAAAGAAGCACCGGCUAACUACGUG
rnacentral:rRNA from 1 species